GUUCUUGCUUCGGUAGCACACAUACUAAAAUUGGAGCGAUACAGAGAAGAUUAGCAUGGCCCCUGCACAAAAUACAGACCAAUAAAAAAAUGCCUCAAUCAAU